GAAGAGGAGAAGAAGAAGAAGAGGAAGAGAAGAGGAAGAGGAAGCAGGGGAAGAGGUUGUGAUACCUCUGUUUCCUGCAGAGGAAACAGAGGAGAGGGUGUGGGUGACGUCGGGGAGAAGAAGGGGAGGAAGGAGAAGAAGAGAAGAAGAAGAAAGGAAGGAAAAGGAAGAGGAGAAGGGAAGAAAGUAGCUGCGGCUGCGGUUGUGGCAGCUGCAGCUGUGGCAGGGAAAGAAGAAGAGAAAGGAAGAAGGGGAGGAGAGGAAGAAGAGUAGGGGCUGCGGCUGCGGCGAUGGCAGCUGCAGUUGGAAGAGAAGAAGGAGAGGAAGAUGAGCAGGGGAGGAAGAAAAGGCUGUGGCCGUGGCUGAGGCUGCGACUGCAGCAUGCAGCUGGGAAAGAAGAGAAGGAAAGGAAGAAGAAGAGAAAGGAAGAAGGGAAGGAGAGGAAGAAGAGAAGGGGCUGCGGCUGCGGCGAUGGCAGCUGCAGUUGGAAGAGAAGAAGGAGAGGAAGAUGAGCAGGGGAGGAAGAAAAGGCUGUGGCCGUGGCUGAGGCUGCGACUGCAGCAUGCAGCUGGGAAAGAAGAGAAGGAAAGGAAGAAGAAGAGAAAGGAAGAAGGGAAGGAGAGGAAGAAGAGAAGGGGCUACGGCUGCGGCGAUGGCAGCUGCAGUUGGAAGAGAAGAAGGAGAGGAAGAUGAGCAGGGGAGGAAGAAGAGGCUGCGAGUGUGGUGGCUGCAGCCGUGGCUGCGACUCCGGCUGCGGCUGCAACGUUGGCUGCGGUAGCUGCGGCAGCGGUGGUGGCUGCAGUAGCUGCAGUAGCUGCUUUUGGGAAAGAGAAAGAGUAGGAACGAGAGAAGGGAAGAAGGAAAUAGUGCAGUGGAAGGGGGCUGCGGUUGUGACCGCAGUUGCGGUCGUGGCUGCGAUUGUGGCAGCGGCAGCGGCGGCGGCUAUGGCAGCUGCGUUUGGGAAAGAAAAAGAAGGAAUGAGAGUAAGAGAGAGCAGGUGACUGUGCCUCGAUGUUCGACACGUGAUGUAGUUGCGAAGAAAGGAAGAAAACGGGAGCACAAAACGAAACAAAGAGAGGACACGGAGAAAAAGUAGAAGGAUUUGAGCUGGCACCUUCUUUGGAUCUUCGGAUCGAAAUCAUUGAAAGGUCAGCUUGUCACUCUUCGAGAUGUUUGAUUUGGGCUGAGGCAGUGGAUAGCUAUUCAGAAUAAUGGGCAAGUCUGGUUGGUUAUUACGAUAUUGUUGUAUAAGUAUGUCUUGUAUGUAAUGAAAUGUUGUCGAUGAACCGAAAUGGAUAUACUGUGUCAGAGUGUUAGGAGAUCUCUCUUAUUUGGAAUUUCAGAAUGUUAAGUCUAAUUUAUGGUGAUAUGAACUUGUGGUGAAUAGUUGGAGUUCUGAUUGUAUAAUUUAUUUAGCUUGUGGAUUUAUAAAUGUUGUUCUUGUUUGUCAAGUUGGCUUGGGUUGCCAUAAAUGUGAAUUAUCGAGUGAUGUGAUAUAUGAUUAUAAACUGCACAGGUUUUAUGGA